rnacentral:rRNA from 1 species
AAAGCGUGCGCAGGCGGUUUUGUAAGUCUGACGUGAAAUCCCCGGGCUCAACCUGGGAAUUGCGUUGGAGACUGCAAGGCUAGAAUCUGGCAGAGGGGGGUAGAAUUCCACGUGUAGCAGUGAAAUGCGUAGAGAUGUGGAGGAACACCGAUGGCGAAGGCAGCCCCCUGGGUCAAGAUUGACGCUCAUGCACGAAAGCGUGGGGAGCAAACAGGAUUAGAUACCCUAGU